rnacentral:tRNA from 1 species
GCACCUCUCGUCUAGUGGUUAGGACAACCCUUUUUCAUGGGGUAAACACGGGUUCGAUUCCCGUGAGGCGCA